CAAUUUUAAUUCCUUUUUAGGUUAUUACACAACUGUUUUCAUGGAUGGGGAGUAAAACUGGGUGGUCUAAUACUUUUCAUAAAUUAACAAAAUAACAACACGACUGGUGGAUUCAAUUCUAGGAACCAGUGAAGAAAUUAAAAGUGAAGACUUGCGACGGAAAAUCCAGGAAACAGGUCUUUUACUGAACAGUAUGAGAGAGCAAAGAUGAUUGUUGGAUUUAAACUGCUUGGAAAAUACCACAAAAUGAAGACAAAAAAUGCACUGCAUCAACAAACAAAUCAACUACUGGAAUGUCAGGGCAUCAGUACCUAGUUCUGAUUCUAAAAACAAUUGUUCAAAAUAAAUGGAGAAUGUGACAAAGAUGAAGAUUUGGAUCAUUUUGGCUUGAAAGAUUGUCAGGAACAUGAAGAAACUGAAUCCAUUAUGAACAUAUGUACACAAACAGACAAAAUAACAACAACACUGGUUGAUACAAUUCUAGGAACUGGUAAAGAAGUUAAGUUUUACAAAAUACAGAAGACUUGCAACGGAAAAUCCAGGAAACAGGUCAUUUACUGAACAGUAUGAGAGAGCCAAGAUGAUUGUUGGAUUUAAACUGCUUGAAAAAUACAACCAAAUGAAGACAAAAAAUGCAUCAACAAACAAAUCAACUAAUGGAACGUUUGGGCAUCAGUACCUAGUUCUGACUCGUAAAGCAAUUGUUCAAAACAAAUGGAGAAUGUGACACAGAUGAUGACCCUGCUUGCAUAUAUUAACAUUAUAAAGGGACAAACAGUUAAUUGAUGCAGUUUAAAUUCAAAGCUGAACAGUGUUUUGUGAUGAAAAUAUGAAUCUUUUUGGCUUGAAAGAUUGUCAGGAAAAUGAAGAAACUGAAUCCAUUAUGAACAUAUGUACACAAACAGACAAAAUAACAACAACACUGGUUGAUACAAUUCUAGGAACUGGUGAAGAAGUUAAGUUUUACAAAAUACAGAAGACUUGCAACGGAAAAUCCCGGAAUGAGGUCUUUUACUGAACAGUAUGAGAGAGAGUCAAGAUGAUUGUUGGAUUUAAACUGCUUGAAAAAUACAACCAAAUGAAGACAAAAAAUGCAUCAACAAACAAAUCAACUAAUGGAAUGUUGGGGCAUCAGUACCUAGUUCUGACUCUAAAAGCAAUUGUUCAAAAUAAAUGGAGAAUGUGACACAGAUGAUGACCCUGCUUGCAUAUAUUAACAUUAUAAAGAGACAAACAGUUAAUUGAUGCAGUUUAAAUUCAAAGCUGAACAGUGUUUUGUGAUGAAAAUAUGAAUCUUUUUGGCUUGAAAGAUUGUCAGGAAAAUGAAGAAACUGAAUCCAUUAUGAACAUAUGUACACAAACAGACAAAAUAACAACAACACUGGUUGAUACAAUUCUAGGAACUGGUGAAGAAGUUAAGUUUUACAAAAUACAGAAGACUUGCAACGGAAAAUCCCGGAAUGAGGUCUUUUACUGAACAGUAUGAGAGAGAGUCAAGAUGAUUGUUGGAUUUAAACUGCUUGAAAAAUACAACCAAAUGAAGACAAAAAAUGCAUCAACAAACAAAUCAACUAAUGGAAUGUUGGGGCAUCAGUACCUAGUUCUGACUCUAAAAGCAAUUGUUCAAAAUAAAUGGAGAAUGUGACACAGAUGAUGACCCUGCUUGCAUAUAUUAACAUUAUAAAGAGACAAACAGUUAAUUGAUGCAGUUUAAAUUCAAAGCUGAACAGUGUUUUGUGAUGAAAAUAUGAAUCCUUUUGGCUUGAAAGGUUGUCAGGAACAUGAAGAAACUGAAUCCAUUAUAAACAUAUGUACAUAAACAG